UACGUAGGGGACAAGCGUUGUCCGGAUUUACUGGGCGUAAAGAGCGCGCAGGCGGUCGAUCAAGUCGAGUGUGAAAGCCCCCGGCUCAACUGGGGAGGGUCAUUCGAUACUGAUCGACUCGAAGGCAGGAGAGGGUAGUGGAAUUCCCGGUGUAGCGGUGAAAUGCGCAGAUAUCGGGAAGAACACCUAUGGCGAAGGCAGCUCUCUGGGACGGUACUGACGCUGAGACGCGAAAGCGUGGGGAGCAAACAGG
rnacentral:rRNA from 1 species